UCAUUGUUGGCGUUUGAACGGCAAGCCGCCUGUGGUAUGCCACCUGUGUCCGACAUCGGACCACUGACGGUUACAAAACACACAAGGCAUCGGUGGAUUUUGGUUGGCAAUCCGACAUAGUGCACGAGUACUCUGCAGGGUCCAAACAGCGGCAUGCUACCUGACAAGCCACCUACGUGAGAGCCAGGUUACAUGCUACCAGCCCCUAGCACCAAGGAGGACCGGCUACUCAUUUGGUGCCAGCAUCGUUUGCAUCAGAUAAAUCACAACAAAGAUGUGGUAAGUUAGAUGUCUUGAAAUGGCUAUAUUUUCUUUUAGUGAACACAUCACGGGCAUGGGUUUGUCCGUUUCUGACGGGGUGAUAAAUAUUGCAGACAAAAUGGACGUCUGCUUGCCUGCACAACCAAUGUGACAUAUAUUGAUGAAUAAAACUUAAUCAAGUAUGUGUAUUUCGCUGAAAAUGAUUGACCAGCGAUAAAAUGUUAUUCAGACAAAAUUGCCAGCCAUAUGAAAACAAUGCAGCCUCAACAGCAUGCAGUUGCUAGCAUUAUUGGUUGUGUUCUGGUCACCGUUAGGCAUGCCAAUUUACCUAUGAUAAUACAGUAAAUCGUUUACAGUCCCAUACGUUUUGUAUAUCCUACCAUGAGAGAAAUAUACACCAGGAUUGCAUUAACUACUCCCGGUGUGCACGAUUAACUUCGGGUCUGAUUAACUUGGAUGGCAUAAAGAGCUGUUCACGUCAGAGGAGACAGGAUGGGGCGUCUUAAGUUCUAUUAUACACUUUGGAAACUGCAUUACGGUUCGACGAGAGGACCAUGCCGUCGCACUUUUGCCGUUGUUAUUGUGCGCGAUUGUAUUCUCAAACACUUCAGCUGUGGUCAAUUCAAAUAGUCGAUUCGUGAGUGUGCUAAGCACUUCGAUAAGUUGUAGGUGACCAUCCCUAGUUGAUCGGACGACCCAAAGUUAAUCGUGCUCAACGUCAUAAGCUGGGACACACACACACACACACAGUGCCAUUGUUAAUUGAUCAAUGGUGAUGUCUUUUCUCUCUCUCGCUCUCUCCAUUAUUAGGUGACCCAAGACCCACGGUUAUAUAAGGGUGGGGAUGUGAAAUGACUGAGAACCUAUUAUCAAGGAGGUGUAUGAAGAAACGACAGCAUAGAGGACCCAGCACAUCCCCUCACAGAUUCCAUGCCUUUCAAAAUAUUAGAACAAGAUUUCAAGGCAUUUUCC